GUCCGGAUUGUAGUCUGCAACUCGACUACAUGAAGUUGGAAUCGCUAGUAAUCGCGGAUCAGCAUGUCGCGGUGAAUACGUUCCCGGGUCUUGUACACACCGCCCGUCACACCAUGGGAGCGGGUUUUACCAGAAGUAGGUAGCUUAACCGCAAGGAGGGCGCUUACCACGGUAGGAUUCGUGACUGGGGUGAAGUCGUAACAAGGUAGCCGUAUCGGAAGGUGCGGCUGGAUCACCUCCUUU
rnacentral:ncRNA from 1 species